rnacentral:rRNA from 1 species
UACGUAGGGCGCAAGCGUUGUCCGGAAUUACUGGGCGUAAAGUGUGCGCAGGCGGCCGCGCAAGUCGAGUGUGAAAGCCCCGGGCUUAACUUGGGAAUUGCGCUCGAAACUACGUGGCUGGAGUGUGGCAGAGGAAGGUGGAAUUCCAGGUGUAGCGGUGAAAUGCGUAGAGAUCUGGAGGAACACCGAUGGCGAAGGCAGCCUUCUGGGCCAACACUGACGCUCAUGCACGAAAGCGUGGGGAGCAAACAGG